UAAAAACGAUCAUUAUAUGUGCUAUAUUUUUUUUACUUUUUUUUGACCAAACGAUACAUAUACAUAUGGACUGAAUUUGAGCACUUAACAAAGCAAGAAAAUAUUAAAUUCGUAUUUAACCAGUUGGCCAUUGGCGGUGAUCGGAAAAUGCAUACCGGUUCCUGAAACUCCGGUCAGCCAGUACUUCAGAAUAAACCGAUGGAGAAGGAACUCAUCAGGUUAAUAAAAACUAGUUUGAAAAGAGAAGCAAGUCAAAAAAAUACCAGAAGUGGAUUUAGUAGUAUCCAACCUGUGAAUACUUUUAUACUACUAUUUUGCCUUCUCUCUGCCCACGUACUAUCGCAAAAUGCUUUCUUCCUUUUUUGUUAAAUUCAUCAAACAAAUGCAAAA